rnacentral:rRNA from 1 species
UACGGAGGGUGCAAGCGUUAGUCGGAAUUACUGGGCGUAAAGCGCACGCAGGCGGUUUGUUAAGUCAGAUGUGAAAUCCCCGGGCUCAACCUGGGAAAGGCAUUGGAAACUGGAAAGCUAGAGUCUCGUAGAGGGGGGUAGAAUUCCAGGUGUAGCGGUGAAAUGCGUAGAGAUCAGGAGGAAUACCGGUGGCGAAGGCGGCCCCCUGGACGAAGACUGACGCUCAGGUGCGAAAGCGUGGGGAGCAAACAGG